GGGGAUCUAGCUCAAAUGGUAGAGCGCUCGCUUUGCAAAUCAUCUCGGAUUAAGGCUGCGAGAGGCACAGGGAUCGAUGCCCUGGAUCUCCA